rnacentral:rRNA from 1 species
GUAGGUGGCAAGCGUUGUCCGGAAUUAUUGGGCGUAAAGCGCGCGCAGGCGGUCCUUUAAGUCUGACGUGAAAGCCCACGGCUCAACCGUGGAGGGUCAUUGGAAACUGGGGGGGACUUGAGUACAGAAGAGGGAAAGCGGAAUUCCAAGUGUAGCGGUGAAAUGCGUAGAGAUUUGGAGGAACACCAGUGGCGAAGGCGGCUUUCUGGUCUGUAACUGACGCUGAGGCGCGAAAGCGUGGGGAGCAAACAGGAUUAGAUACCCUGGUAGUCCACGCCGUAAACGAUGAGUGCUAAGUGUUAGGGGGUUUCCGCCCCUUAGUGCUGCAGCUAACGCAUUAAGCACUCCGCCUGGGGAGUACGGCCGCAAAGGCUGA